UACGUAGGGUGCGAGCGUUGUCCGGAAUUAUUGGGCGUAAAGGGCUCGUAGGCGGUCUGUCACGUCGGGAGUGAAAACUCGGGGCUUAACCCCGAGCCUGCUUCCGAUACGGGCAGACUAGAGGUAUGCAGGGGAGAACGGAAUUCCUGGUGUAGCGGUGAAAUGCGCAGAUAUCAGGAGGAACACCGGUGGCGAAGGCGGUUCUCCGGGCAUUACCUGACGCUGAGGAGCGAAAGUGUGGGGAGCGAACAGG
rnacentral:rRNA from 1 species